ACUUCACUGACUUUGUCCUUUACAUUGACAAGCUAGAUAAGAUGAUAUUGUUUUAAAUAAUCAUUUGCGUUUAGGUAUUUCUCUGGCAGUUUUGUAUUACAGUUUAAAAAUAGACUAGCCUAUGUCUAUGGCUCAUGUUGGCUAUGGUAUUUUGAACUUGAUUUCUGAGGCUGCUGACAGCUUUUGAAAGAUUUAACAACUGGCAGCAAGAAAAACUUCCAUAGAAUCUCUUCUCUGAAAUUUUUUCUCCUGGAAAAAAGGGCAUCACUUAGCAGGCGUAAAUGUCUCAGAGUCACCGACUAUAAGUACAAAGGGCCCAGGAGCUGGAAUCUGAAGACAAACAUGGCUCCACUACAUUUUACUCUCAUUGCCUUGGGAAACAUUACUUAAACCAGAAGAAUCUAUUGCCCUCUUUACUUCACAGUGCUACAGAGAGGAUUACAUGAGCCAAUAUUUAUUCAAGAGGAAUGACAAAAAGACUGAGAAUCUCUGAGGUCCUUGGGUUUCCAGAGGUAUUCCUGCAAGGAACAGUCAAGCAGCACCAAACCUUCAGACCUUCUGAAACAGCCUGGUUCCUCCCAGCACUGGGUCUGAUUCUGCAGCCCUCCUUUCCAACAUGUCACGUCACUCAUCCUCCCAACAAAUUCAGUAGUUGGUUAAGCAAGCCAUAUACAGUGUUAGUUGACUGAAAUCAAAGCUCUAUAGCUAAUACCAGAGGAAAGCAAAGUUCUGAUUUUCAUAAGGUUUUGAAUGCUGUGCUAUGGAUUUUGGACUUUAUUUGGAAGGCAA
rnacentral:lncRNA from 1 species